AAGGCUACCCCUUCUGCAGGUUUUAUAUGGUCCAGAUUGUGUAUAGUUAAAAUGUCGAUUCAUAUUCCUAAUUGGAGCAGGCUUAGAACAUUUUUCUUGAUCAGGGUCUAGUCCCACCUUCUCCAAACAACUAGCAAGAAUCCAAAGAAUUGACUAAUAUAUAGAAAA